UACUACAAGAAGGAUUUUCUUCAUUUUCCGAAGGGGCCUGAGGCUAAGUGAUUUGCUCAGAGUCACAUAGCUGGCUGAGUGUCAAAGGCAGGUUCUGAACUCCAGCCUUCCUGACCCCGACUCCUAUGCUGUCUCCACUCUACUCUUUCUCAGGUGGCUUCCAGAGCAGACUUUAAUUCAUAGAAAUACAGAAGGAUCUAUGUCCAUUAGAGAGAAGAUGUGAUGUGCAUCCUCAGAGUAUCGACACAGAUAAAAUAGCCCUCAGAACUGGCUUUGCCCCAGCCUGGAUGCAUUCCUCAUCUUGCCCAACUGGUUUCUUUUUCCUGGAGGCAGGUUGAUAGCAUCCUCCAUCAUAAGUCCUUUGGAACUGCCUUGGAUCAUGCCAUUGUUGAGGAUCCUCAAGUGGAUUAGACUUGUUAAAAAAAAUAAAAGAAAGAAAGGCUGGUGUGGUACCAGCUUAGCCUGACAAAGGGUAACCAUGGAUCCUAUAACCCACGAAGUUCUAGAAAGGUAAAAAUAAAAUUUUUCUCAAACUUGAGACA
rnacentral:lncRNA from 1 species